CAUGCAAGUCGAGCGGAAACGAGUUGUCUGAACCUUCGGGGAACGAUAACGGCGUCGAGCGGCGGACGGGUGAGUAAUGCCUAGGAAAUUGCCCUGAUGUGGGGGAUAACCAUUGGAAACGAUGGCUAAUACCGCAUGAUGCCUACGGGCCAAAGAGGGGGACCUUCGGGCCUCUCGCGUCAGGAUAUGCCUAGGUGGGAUUAGCUAGUUGGUGAGGUAAGGGCUCACCAAGGCGACGAUCCCUAGCUGGUCUGAGAGGAUGAUCAGCCACACUGGAACUGAGACACGGUCCAGACUCCUACGGGAGGCAGCAGUGGGGAAUAUUGCACAAUGGGCGCAAGCCUGAUGCAGCCAUGCCGCGUGUGUGAAGAAGGCCUUCGGGUUGUAAAGCACUUUCAGUCGUGAGGAAGGUAGUGUAGUUAAUAGCUGCAUUAUUUGACGUUAGCGACAGAAGAAGCACCGGCUAACUCCGUGCCAGCAGCCGCGGUAAUACGGAGGGUGCGAGCGUUAAUCGGAAUUACUGGGCGUAAAGCGCAUGCAGGUGGUUUGUUAAGUCAGAUGUGAAAGCCCGGGGCUCAACCUCGGAAUUGCAUUUGAAACUGGCAGACUAGAGUACUGUAGAGGGGGGUAGAAUUUCAGGUGUAGCGGUGAAAUGCGUAGAGAUCUGAAGGAAUACCGGUGGCGAAGGCGGCCCCCUGGACAGAUACUGACACUCAGAUGCGAAAGCGUGGGGAGCAAACAGGAUUAGAUACCCUGGUAGUCCACGCCGUAAACGAUGUCUACUUGGAGGUUGUGGCCUUGAGCCGUGGCUUUCGGAGCUAACGCGUUAAGUAGACCGCCUGGGGAGUACGGUCGCAAGAUUAAAACUCAAAUGAAUUGACGGGGGCCCGCACAAGCGGUGGAGCAUGUGGUUUAAUUCGAUGCAACGCGAAGAACCUUACCUACUCUUGACAUCCAGAGAACUUUCCAGAGAUGGAUUGGUGCCUUCGGGAACUCUGAGACAGGUGCUGCAUGGCUGUCGUCAGCUCGUGUUGUGAAAUGUUGGGUUAAGUCCCGCAACGAGCGCAACCCUUAUCCUUGUUUGCCAGCGAGUAAUGUCGGGAACUCCAGGGAGACUGCCGGUGAUAAACCGGAGGAAGGUGGGGACGACGUCAAGUCAUCAUGGCCCUUACGAGUAGGGCUACACACGUGCUACAAUGGCGCAUACAGAGGGCGGCCAACUUGCGAAAGUGAGCGAAUCCCAAAAAGUGCGUCGUAGUCCGGAUUGGAGUCUGCAACUCGACUCCAUGAAGUCGGAAUCGCUAGUAAUCGUGGAUCAGAAUGCCACGGUGAAUACGUUCCCGGGCCUUGUACACACCGCCCGUCACACCAUGGGAGUGGGCUGCAAAAGAAGUAGGUAGUUUAACCUUCGGGAGGACGCUUACCACUU
rnacentral:rRNA from 1 species